AUAUCAAUAAGCGGAGGAAAAGAAACCAACAGGGAUUGCCCCAGUAACGGCGAGUGAAGCGGCAACAGCUCAAAUUUGAAAUCUGGCCCUUUCGGGUCCGAGUUGUAAUUUGUAGAGGAUGCUUUUGGCAAGGCGCCGCCCGAGUUCCCUGGAACGGGACGCCACAGAGGGUGAGAGCCCCGUCUGGCUGGCCGCCGAGCCUCUGUAAAGCUCCUUCGACGAGUCGAGUAGUUUGGGAAUGCUGCUCAAAAUGGGAGGUAUAUGUCUUCUAAAGCUAAAUAUUGGCCAGAGACCGAUAGCGCACAAGUAGAGUGAUCGAAAGAUGAAAAGCACCUUGAAAAGAGGGUUAAAUAGUACGUGAAAUUGUUGAAAGGGAAGCGCUUGUGACCAGACUUGGGCGCGGCGGAUCAUCCGGGGUUCUCCCCGGUGCACUUCGCCGUGUCCAGGCCAGCAUCAGUUCGUCGCGGGGGAAAAAGGCUUCGGGAACGUGGCUCCCCUGGGAGUGUUAUAGCCCGUUGCAUAAUACCCUGCGGUGGACUGAGGACCGCGCAUCUGCAAGGAUGCUGGCGUAAUGGUCACCAGCGAC
rnacentral:rRNA from 1 species